UUUACCCUACGGGGCGCAGCAGUGAGGAAUAUUGGUCAAUGGGCGAGAGCCUGAACCAGCCAAGUCGCGUGAGGGAGUACUGCCCUAUGGGUUGUAAACCUCUUUUGUCGGGGAGCAAAAGCCGGACGUGUCCGGCUGUGAGAGUACCCGAAGAAAAAGCAUCGGCUAACUCCGUGCCAGCAGCCGCGGUAAUACGUAGGGUGCGAGCGUUAAUCGGAAUUACUGGGCGUAAAGGGUGUGCAGGCGGCUGAGUAAGACAGAUGUGAAAUCCCCGGGCUUAACCUGGGAACCGCAUAUGUGACUGC
rnacentral:rRNA from 1 species